rnacentral:lncRNA from 1 species
AGAGAACCAAAGCAGUGUCAAGUUUGUCCAGGAUACAUCAAAGUUCUGGUACAAGCCUCACCUUUCCCGAGACCAAGCCAUUGCCCUGCUGAAAGACAAGGAUCCUGGGGCCUUCCUGAUCAGAGACAGUCACUCUUUCCAGGGAGCCUAUGGGUUAGCCCUCAAAGUGGCCACACCCCCACCCAGCGCCCAGCCAUGGAAAGGGGACCCCUCAGAACAGCUGGUCCGCCAUUUCCUCAUUGAGACUGGACCCAAAGGAAGCCUGUCUGCCCUGGUCUCACAGCACUCCAUUUCU